rnacentral:rRNA from 1 species
UACGGGGGGGGCAAGCGUUGUUCGGAAUUACUGGGCGUAAAGCGCACGUAGGCGGCUCUUUAAGUCGGGGGUGAAAUCCUGGAGCUCAACUCCAGAACUGCCUUCGAUACUGAAGAGCUCGAGUCCGGGAGAGGUGAGUGGAACUGCGAGUGUAGAGGUGAAAUUCGUAGAUAUUCGCAAGAACACCAGUGGCGAAGGCGGCUCACUGGCCCCGGUACUGACGCUGAGGUGCGAAAGCGUGGGGAGCAAACAGGG